rnacentral:rRNA from 1 species
UACGGAGGGGGCGAGCGUUAAUCGGAAUUACUGGGCGUAAAGCGUGCGCAGGCGGCUUUGCAAGACAGAUGUGAAAUCCCCGGGCUUAACCUGGGAACUGCAUUUGUGACUGCAUGGCUAGAGUGCGGCAGAGGGGGGUGGAAUUCCACGUGUAGCAGUGAAAUGCGUAGAGAUGUGGAGGAACACCGAUGGCGAAGGCAGCCCCCUGGGCUAACACUGACGCUCAUGCACGAAAGCGUGGGGAGCAAACAGG